ACGAGUUAGGGUCUUCUAGGCCCGACCUCCCAACCCUAUGUUUAUUGAACCUCUGUUGCUUCGGCGGACCCGCCUCACGGCCGCCGGAGGACCGCUGCAAGGCGUCCUCUGGCCAGCGUCCGCCGAUGGCCAACCACUUAAACUCUGAAUGAAUCGUGUCAUAUGUCUAAGUCUAUGAUUGAAUUAAAGCA
rnacentral:misc_RNA from 1 species